UCUAUUAAUUCGUUUGUUCAUCAUUUGUUCUUGAUUGUUCAUUGUUAAUAAUUGUUUGUUCCCCAUUUAUUUAUUUUAAAAAAAAUAUUAAAAAUAUAUCUAAAAGUUAGCCCCUCGAUUGCAAUUUUUAAUAUUUUUUCGUCCUUAAUUACUCGUAAAUAUUCAUUUUCGAUUGUUCUUAUAUAAAAUACGUUUGUUCUCUUUCGAAAUUACUCAUUUUUUGUUUAAUUAAUUGUAUUAGUUGAAUAAAUGUAUACAAAAUAUGUGUACUGCGCAUGCCAUAAGUGUAUAAUCUAUGGCGCAUGCGUCAACUAUAAUGCCUAAACUUUCUACGCGGUUUUAAUCGUGAAAAAAAAACAAUUAUAAAUCCUGAAGGAUCAAUUAAUUGGUAUACAGUUUAAUUAAAAAAAUUUAAAAAAUAAAUAAAUAAAAUAAUGUGCAUUCGCGUAAAGUUAGCCCAAAUACAUUUUUUCCAUCCUCCUAUAUACCUAUCGCUAUGAAGGUAUAAAAAAGAUAGGUUAAGAGUUCACAUAGCUGGAAAACUACAUGGAGAAUUAUAUGCAAUACAAGAUAAUGAGCUCCAUCAAAUGAAUUCGAAUGAAACCAAACUGUUUACCAUCCAAAUUCGAUUGUCGGGCAGAUAGAAAACGAAAAUUCACUCAUAGUGAACCUCGGCCUGCAUUUGUGAAACGGCAAAGACUCACUAUUAUCAAGGAAAUUGAAGAGACGACUAAAAAUGAGAUGUGUCGUAUUAUUAUACCUUUGGCAUCUUGUAGUCAAGAUGUCCAGCCACUUGAAAAUAGGUGUAGUAAUGACAAAGCUAUCCAAGUAGCUCCAGCACAGGAACACAAAGGCAAGGCAAGUGUGUAUUGCCACAUCACCCCUUAAUAUAUCUGAAGCAAGUAUAAGUAAACAAUCAGAACCAGCAAAAAAAAAAACUGUUGUUCCUGAGGACAAAUUUGACAGUGAUGAGUCAAAUGCACCAGCAACAGAAGGAUCAACUGUUGACUAUGGGUUAUAGAAGAAGAAGAUUAAUUCAUAUUUAUUUAAAUUAAUAUUAAUGAAUAUUAAUUUAAAUUAUCGUGCAAAAUUCGUGGUCAAAACAUAUGUGUAUUUUAUAAAUAAAUAUUCAUUCUCAGUA